CGGGGUGCACCAGGCGCGAAAACUUUACACUGCGGGAAACCGCGAUAAGGGGACCCCGAGUGCCAGCACCUAGUGCUGGCUGUCCAGCUGUCCAAAUAACAGUUGUUAGCAAGGGCCGGGCAAGACCGGUGCCAGCCGCCGCGGUAACACCGGCGGCCCGAGUGGUAGCCGUUAUUAUUGGGUUUAAAGGGUCCGUAGCCGGCCUAUUAAGUCUCUUGGGAAAUCUGGCGACUCAAUCGUCAGUCGUCCAAGAGAUACUGGUAGGCUUGGGACCGGGAGAGGUGGGAGGUACUCCAGGGGUAGGGGUGAAAUCUCGUAAUCCUUGGGGGACCACCGAUGGCGAAGACAUCCCACCAGAACGGGUCCGACGGUGAGGGACGAAAGCUGGGGGCACGAACCGGAUUAGAUACCCGGGUAGUCCCAGCCGUAAACGAUGCUCGCUAGGUGUCAGGUUCGGUGCGACCGCAUUUGGUGCCGCAGUGAAAACUUGAAGCGAGUCACCUGGGAAGUACGGUCGCAAGGCUGAAACUUAAAGGA
rnacentral:rRNA from 1 species